GAUGAACGCUGGCGGCGUGCCUAACACAUGCAAGUCGAGCGAUUCUCUUCGGAGAAGAGCGGCGGACGGGUGAGUAACGCGUGGGUAACCUGCCCUGUACACACGGAUAACAUACCGAAAGGUAUGCUAAUACGAGAUAAUAUACUUUCAUCGCAUGGUAGAAGUAUCAAAGCUUUUGCGGUACAGGAUGGACCCGCGUCUGAUUAGCUAGUUGGUAAGGUAACGGCUUACCAAGGCGACGAUCAGUAGCCGACCUGAGAGGGUGAUCGGCCACAUUGGAACUGAGACACGGUCCAAACUCCGACGGGAGGCAGCAGUGGGGAAUAUUGCACAAUGGGCGAAAGCCUGAUGCAGCAACGCCGCGUGAGCGAUGAAGGCCUUCGGGUCGUAAAGCUCUGUCCUCAAGGAAGAUAAUGACGGUACUUGAGGAGGAAGCCCCGGCUAACUACGUGCCAGCCGCCGCCGUAA
rnacentral:rRNA from 1 species